rnacentral:misc_RNA from 1 species
UACGGAGGGUGCAAGCGUUGUCCGGAAUCACUGGGCGUAAAGGGCGCGUAGGCGGCGCGGUAAGUCCAUUGUGAAAUCCCGGGGCUCAACUCCGGGGCUGCAGUGGAGACUGUCGUGCUCGAGUACAGUUGGGGCGAGCGGAAUUCCCGGUGUAGCGGUGGAAUGCGUAGAUAUCGGGAAGAACACCAGAAGCGAAGACAGCUCGCUGGGCUGUUACUGACGCUGAGGCGCGAGAGCGAGGGGAGCAAACAGG